rnacentral:rRNA from 1 species
UGGGGAAUAUUGGACAAUGGGCGAAAGCCUGAUCCAGCCAUGCCGCGUGAGUGAUGACGGCCUUAGGGUUGUAAAGCUCUUUCGACGGGGACGAUAAUAACGGUACCCGUAGAAGAAGCACCGGCUAACUUCGUGCCAGCAGCCGCGGUAAUACGAAGGGGGCUAGCGUUGCUCGGAAGCACUGGGCGUAAAGCGCACGUAGGCGGAUCAUUAAGUCAGGUGUGAAAGCCUGGGGCUCAACUCCAGAACUGCCCUUGAUACUGAUGAGCUUGAGUCCGGAAGAGGUUGGUGGAACUCCGAGUGUAGAGGUGAAAUGCGUAGAUAUUCGGAAGAACACCAGUGGCGAAGGCGGCCAACUGGUCCGGUACUGACGCUGAGGUGCGAAAGCGUGGGGAGCAAACA